rnacentral:lncRNA from 1 species
GACAGUGGUUCAGUUCUUUUAUAGUCUGCCAUAACAACUACAACAACUGUACAACAUCACUUUCUUCUCCUCAUUAUUAUUACUAUUAAAACGACACCGUUUCUUUUCCAUUCAUUUUCUCUCUCUCUCUCUCUCUCUCUCUCUCUCUCUCUCUCUCUCUCUCUGCAUCUCUUCUUAAUUCCGAAUCUGAACAACAAACUCCGAUCAAAUCUAACCGUCGACAAUCGGAGAUCUCUCCGAUGAGUAAACAAUGAAUCCUCUAUGCUGCAUUGCUCCGGUUUC